CAGUCGCCACGGGAAUACGUAGGGUGCAAGCGUUGUCCGGAAUUAUUGGGCGUAAAGAGCUCGUAGGCGGUUUGUCGCGUCUGCUGUGAAAACUGGAGGCUCAACCUCCAGCCUGCAGUGGGUACGGGCAGACUAGAGUGCGGUAGGGGAGAUUGGAAUUCCUGGUGUAGCGGUGGAAUGCGCAGAUAUCAGGAGGAACACCGAUGGCGAAGGCAGAUCUCUGGGCCGUAACUGACGCUGAGGAGCGAAAGCGUGGGGAGCGAACAGGAUUAGAUACCCCUGUAGUCCCUGUCUCUUAUAC
rnacentral:rRNA from 1 species